rnacentral:rRNA from 1 species
AAUAUUGGACAAUGGGCGAAAGCCUGAUCCAGCCAGGCCGCGUGUGUGAAGAAGGUCUUCGGAAUGUAAAGCACUUUAAGUUGGGAGGAAGUGCAGUAAGCGAAUACCUUGCUGUUUUGACGUUACCGAAAGAAUAAGAACCGGCUAACUUCGUGCCAGUGGCCGCGGUAAUACGAAGGGUUCAAGCGUUAAUCGGAAUUACUGAGCGUAAAGCGAGCGUAGGUGGUUUGUUAAGUUGAAAGUGAAAGCCCCGGGCUCAACCUGGGAACUGCUUUCAAAACUGGCAAGCUAAAGUACGGUAGAGGGUAGUGGAAUUUCCUGUGUAGCGGUGAAAUGCGUAGAUAUAGGAAGGAACACCAGUGGCGAAGGCGACUACCUGGACUGAUACUGACACUGAGGUGCGAAAGCGUGGGGAGCAAAC